GUAGUUGUGGUGUAGUGGUUAACGAGCCUGACUUUGAAUCAGGAAAUCUCGGGUUCGAUUCCCGACAGGAACA
rnacentral:tRNA from 1 species